rnacentral:lncRNA from 1 species
CGAUUUUACUGGUCGUUCGCCUCCCGUUAUCCUUCCUCAAAAGCCAUGGGAAGCUUCUGUUACGUUGGUGCGCCGUCGUCAAGGCUAAUCGCGGUACAUUGCGCCAUCCUCGCCAGCGAGUUCCUCGGCAAGUUAUCCGUCUACUCUUCUCAUCGGCUUGCGCCAUCCUCCGCCGCGAGUUCCACGGCAAGUUGUCUGACUGCUCAUCUUAUCGGCGUACCCAACCUUCAUCGUGUGGCAGAUUCGUCAAGGUACGCAAACCCUUCUACCAGUGUGUCGCUCAGAGUUGUAGUUUCCCGUCUAAACUCUUGCUUCACACAUCCCGAAUCCACUCCUGCUUAUCGAUAAGCAAAGUUAGCCGGAUGAUUCUUCAAAAUUUAUGUCCUCCGUAUUAGAGCUUGCCUCUCAAGCUUCUUGGUAUUGCACUCCUACUCGAUUUGUGCUAAUCGUGGGGGGGGCAAGAAUGGCAAACAAAAAUAUUUUCUUUCGUUAUCCCCUCCUUCAGACGCAAGUUUACGAUGGACUAAUGAAUCUCUACGUCCGGCAUGGGAUUUACCUUCAGCUACAGACCAAACUUCGUAUGUAUUCCUGGAAAUAUUACUUCCUCUCAUUGGUUGCUGCAAAUGGUAUUCUUCAUCUGCAUUUUUGGAAAUAUUGCUUCUUCUCAUUUGCUUACUGCAGAUGUCCUUCUUAAUGGAUACCCACUAUAUUAUCUGCCAACGUAAUACCUGGGUAUUGAACUGUCAAACUAAUUAACUUCUAGAACAGCAAAUGGUUAGUAGAAAUGUGCAAAUGCAUAAAUGGCCAUAUAAUUGUUUCAACCAAUGAAUACCAGCCUGUCUUUUAAUUGAUCCUGCAACUCGCGUUAGCAGCUAACUUGGACAAACUGUUACAUAAUAUAAUGUCUCCUCAUGCAUAAUUAUCUAUGGACACACUGUAAAUUUUAUAUUGAUCUUUCACUCAGUACUUUCUAAACGUCAGCAUCUAACUUGGACAACAUGCAGCUUCUAUACCCAAAACUGGCAUGCUAUCAAUGCAACCUGCUAUUUUUCCAUAUUGAUAGAUGAUAGACAAGAUAUACAACUUCGUUUUUU